CGUUGCGGACCCGCCACUCACCGCUUCUCUCGACCGCAUCUCUUCUCCGCGCCGCCGCUCGCCUGCACUUCUACGUGUGAAACGCGUCCGCGCCUAUGGCCUGCCCGUGCCCAGCUGCCCCCUCUCCACGCGAGCCUCUCUAGGCGUCAAGCGUGCCAUUAAGCAACCGUGGCCCCCACCCCUCCUCGGCUCUCUGCGUGAGCACAAGCAUGUCUCUGUAGCCCAUGUUCAACGGAUUUGAAAGGUAAAACAAAUCCAUUCACAUUCCAUCUUGGGUUUCCACACAUCUGAUCUAUGUAUUCCUAGUUCUAGGUGUCAGUGCUAGAGGAUUUGGAAAGGCGCUGUUUGAUAAGAAGACAAACCCGUGUCCUGGCAAGUGGAUACCUGUAGCCCGUAUGGACCAGUUUCUUUUAUCAUUUUACCUUGUCUCUCCAUGUAUUGCUCAAUUUGGAUACUGCAGAGAGAACACGAGAGAAACUGUUGUUGAGGAGAUCUGCAAUUUCGAUAUAUCUUUAUAUGUUAUCUCUAGUCUAGUGAUAGUACAAAUCUCAUCUUAAAUGAAGCUUGUUUGACGGUCUGAGUGAAGUCAAUGUAUAUAGCAAUAUAAAGUUUGCUAUAUUGAGAAAAAUAUUUAAAAGCAUUAUGGGAAACAAGUGAAAGAAUGUGGGUAUUAUUAAGUAUGCCGGGGCCGACAUACUUAUUUUGAAUAAGUAUGCCAAUUUUCAGCCCCUGGCGUACUUAAUUUUAAAAACAUCUGUUAAGCUUGUACCCACAUACUUCUCAUGUUGAGCUGUAUGUCAGAUUAGUCAAAAUUAUGGAAUUGUAAUCCUCUGCUCUUAAUCUUCUAGUACUAUUUGGGAUCAAUUUGUUGCAAGCUAGCAAACAUUUACUGUCUACUAUGAUAUAGUAAUAAAUUAUACGCCAUUACUGUGUUGCAGUGCUGCUUUUUUGGGACAUAUUUACUGUACUUGCUAUUAAAUUUAUUGAGAGUGCAUGCCCAAUAGUAGUUUGUUUUUACACCGUACACAAUUUAUUCUUGUUUUAUACGAACGGCAAAUUUGGUGCUGUCUUAAUCCUGAGUCUUUUGUGUCUUGAAAAACAUUAAGUUAUACCUACGGAAGCUCUUAUUGGCUAAUAAAUUAUGUUCAGUUAUCAUGCAAGCCUUUUCUUAAGUUUUAGCUUGGACAACAUCAAGGAUUGAAGGUGGAUUCUACGCUUGCUGUGCAGAAUCAAAAACUUCAUAUUGCCAUAACAGUUCACUUAACUUCUUUUAAUUAAAUUUGAUCCAUGAGCUAGCACUCCAUAGGACGUUUUCCUAAGAGUGUGGUACUAAUCCUUGCUUAGGUAUUAUGCUAUCAGUUAGCAUGUAUUUAUGAAUGGAGAAUAUGGAAUUGUAAUUCUCUGCCUAAAACUUCUAGUAGUUCUAUCUGGGAUCUUUUUGAAAUGUAUUUGUUGCUAUUUUCUUUUCUAAAACUAUAUUCUAAAUUUUAUUUUCAGGAAACAGGUCACCCAUCACAUUCGUCAUGUGCAAUUCUCUCAUGUCGUGCAGCCCAUUAAUUCCACUGAAGAAAACAUAGAAUGUGCAUCAUAAUGUCACAGAAGGCCUAAAAUGUUGUAGUGUGCGGCCAUUGCUCACGAGGAGGCAGAGUGUCGUGUUGCCGAGUGCCGCUGGACCACAUACGAUUGUUGAUGGUAAAGAAGUUGUGAACUUUGCAUCAGCAAACUACCUCGGUUUAAUUGGCAACGAAAAGAUUAUUGAUUCUUGCAUCAGUUCAUUGGAGAAAUAUGGUGUUGGUUCUUGUGGUCCACGUGGCUUUUAUGGAACAAUUGAUGUCCAUCUUGACUGUGAGUCAAAGAUAGCUAAAUUUUUGGGGACUCCAGACUCCAUUCUUUAUUCAUAUGGGAUUUCUACAAUAUUCAGUGUGAUACAUGCCUUCUGUAAGAAAGAAGAUAUCAUAGUCGCUUUGAUGUGAUUGCAGUAACGAGGGUGUUGACUGUUUGGUGAAAUGCUUGGGACAAAGUGGCCAGCAAGAAUGGAGUCAUGGAACAUCGACAGGAGGGGUGAGGCAGCGGCAACCGAUGUAUCCCUUGGACAAUCUGGUUUUGACAUGAUGCAAAUCAAUCUGCUGUACACUGUAUUCCGCACUUGCAUAGAUUGUUUGGUUAAUUACAAGAUUAUCUCAGUGUUUUGGUUUGGAUUUAGAGUACACUUAUGUAUGAAAUAUUGAUUGGUACUCAUGUAUAUUAUAUUAAUUAUAUUAUUAUUAAAUAUAUGUGUAUGUAUUUCUCU